AAUGCUGCUAGCAACAUGUUGUCUAGUGUAUGGGGGCCUUGUGAAUUAUGAACAGGUAUAGCAGGAAGUGUAAUAAAAAUGGACACUGCUCUCCCAGUCUUAAUUGACAAAAUAGCCAUUCCCUGUUAUGUUCACAUGUUCAUACAGUACCCCAGAUCAAGGGUUUGAUUUAUGUGCUAAUCCAACAGAGCCUGGAGUUAAUGGAUGUAACAACAUUGGUUGGGAUGAACUGAUACUCUAUCCAUUUAUAUUAUAUGGAAUAUGGAUGGCAUACUAUGUACUAAUAGUCUUUUAUUGGAAGGAAAAGAUUAUAAAAGACUGAGAGAAAAUACAUGACAGCAUUCACAAUAAUGUCACAAGAGAAGAAAGGUGGUCUUAUAUAUUCAAUUACUAACUGUCUGGGACUAAAGUAUCAGAAACAAAUGUACUUUGUUGCUUACACAGUAAUGGGAUGCUAGUUAUAGUUAGUUAACUAAAAGUAAAUCUGGCCUAACUAAAAGGGUUUUAGUUUUAGUUAUAGUUAACUAAAACAACACUAUUUAUCGUAAGUAUAUAUAGCCACUACUGACUGUAGACAGAUUGACUGAUCAACUUUAUGUCAUUUUUAUUUACUAUUAUCUUGUUCACUACCUCUUCUUUAGGUUAGUGUAUUAAUUACAUUUUCUUUCUGGGGUUUGUCCUGGUUGCCAGUUACAAUGGAGCUACUUUCUAUAUCAAGGUUGUUGGGAAAGAAUAUUAUAAAAAUGAAGAAAAGAAAAAUGAAUGAAUUAUACAGUUCAUACUGAGUAGCUAAUAUGUCAUUUUGUUAUUAUGCCAGUGCAUCAUUGGAUUACAUGCAAGUUUAUUGAAAUGACUGCUAAAACUGA